rnacentral:rRNA from 1 species
UACGGGGGGGGCAAGCGUUGUUCGGAAUUACUGGGCGUAAAGGGCGCGUAGGCGGCCAUCUAAGUCAGACGUGAAAUCCCUCGGCUCAACCGAGGAACUGCGUCUGAUACUGGAAGGCUUGAAUCCGGGAGAGGGAUGUGGAAUUCCAGGUGUAGCGGUGAAAUGCGUAGAUAUCUGGAGGAACACCGGUGGCGGAGGCGGCAUCCUGGACCGGUAUUGACGCUGAGGCGCGAAAGCUAGGGGAGCAAACGGG